UCAAAUUCAAUGUCUUAGAAAGGAAAGAAUGUUGCCAGGGAUGGAUUCUCAAAUGGUUUACUAGCUUUGAACCUGAAGAUGUGAAGAACUUGAUACAUCAUACACGGCUGCCUUCAUAGCUACUCUGGUAGCUAUUCUUGAGAUCAGGAUCUGUUUGGGUUGCAAAACAGUCUCUGGAAUCAAAAUAGUCAUUGAAUAUAGUGUUCCGAUUAUCUAAAAGUGUUGUUGGUUAACUUGGAUUUCCUUCCAGACUGAAUCCAACUCCUCCAGUGGUUCAACCUCCGUGAUUUGCAAAUUGUUGCUUCUUUGUUUCCGAUUAACUGGAAUACUAUAUCUAAUAUUGAGAUCACAGAAAACGUACAUCGUUUCUGUUCUUGUCCAAAAUUGUUUCUCUCUCUCUCUCUCGCCUGAAUAGUUUCUGAAGAGUCAGGUUUCUUCUUUGUUGUUUCACUUUCUCGGUUUGUCCGAUGAUCGUCUCUUCUCC
rnacentral:sRNA from 1 species